rnacentral:lncRNA from 1 species
UUAAACCUGCUAACACUCUUAAGGUCGUUUUCUAAGCAAGUAAGUUGCCUGUACUAACUUGUCGGAUAAAUUGCUCCUAACUUUAUAGUGCAUUUAAGUAUUUUCGUUUUCUCAUCUCGCUUGUAAAAUAUAUUCAUUAUUUCGAAAUUAUGGGAAGGCCAAAAUUAGAAUGCACAACGUUGGAGUGGUGACUAUGGUUGGCAAUGCGAUGCAUGCUAAACGUAAACAAAAGCAGCUGUUUAUUGAAAACUUAUCAUGGAAAUCCCACAACUAAAAAGAAAUUAUCAAUGCUUAAUUUAAAGCUGGCUUCAAGCACAUGCAAUCUGCACAAUUUUUAUGUAGCUGGACUUCCAUUUCAGCUUAAUGGCGCCCAGGAGAAAGUGUGUUUUUAAUACAGAACUUCGAAAAGAAUUUAACAAGAGCCAGUGAAGUAAAAUGCGUUAAAUGCAUGGCAGUUUUUUCCAUUGCAAAUAACGGCAAACUGGAUAUCCUGCAACAUUUAAAGACAAUAUGCAAUAAACACGUGGUGAUAUUUGUGCAGCCAGUAGUAAAACCAUUUCUGCAUUUUACUUAUCUAAAUCGCUUGAUGAUUGCCGAAAACUGACAUACAUCACAGAAGAAACAUGGGCGUACCAUACGAUUCAACACAACUAUUCUCAAAUGAUUGCACAAAUAAACUUAUCAAAAGCUGUUUUGAUGAAAAAUAUUCAUGCGCAAGCACCAAGUGCGAAGGCAUUAUUUGCAAUGUGCUUUAAGGAAUUGGAGAAGGAUUUAGAAGGGGUACAUUUCAUUUCAAUAUAUUCUGACUGCUGAAACCAUGGAAGUACAAAAAUAUGUUCAAUUCUUGUUCGGUACUUCACUCAAUACAAGGGAAUUCAAGUAAAAAUUCUGGAAGUUGAUGAGAUUCCUGGCGAAACGUCUGACAUAUUGAGUGAAUAUAUUCUAAAGCUGUUAAACAAAUUUAAAUUGGAAAGAAAAUUGCUAGCUUUAUGUGCAGACAAUACGAACGCAAAUAUUGGUGGUGCAUCCAGGCGGGGUAAAAACAACCUUUUCACAAAACUUCAAUAGGCCACUGGUAAAACAUUAAUUGGAAUUAAUUGUGCUGCCCACAUUUUAAAUAAUUGCAUACAAUGUUCUGGGGAAUGUUCUGUCUUCCAAUUGACAUCGAAGUCACUGUUGUAAAGAUCUACUCUUUCUUUUAUAUUUACACAGUCCGCGUGGCAGAAUUUAAAGAUAUUUGUGAAAACUUAAACCUCGAAUAUUGUAAACUAAUGGGAUUUAGUAAAACUAGGUGGCUCACUUUGAAGCCAUCAAUAGAGAGGAUUCUGAAUCUUUUCGAUCCUCUCAAAAAAUAUUUUUUGUUACAACCAAAGUGUCCAACUGUCUUAAAACAAUUUUUUUUUUAAUCUUUGCGAGCAUGUCUCUUUCACAGCUAUAUUUUAAAAAUUGAAUCGCAAACAAUGUCAAUGAUAGAAAGAGCCUUCCUCAUAAAUGAACUAAAAAACAAAGUUAUUGCACGUAAAGAAGAAAACUUUGUACCAUUAGAAGUUAAAAUCUCUAUUACAGUCUUACAACUGAAAGGUUUAAUUGAUGUAAAUAAAUUCCAAACAUGCACAAAAGCUUUUAUAUCAAUUGUGCUGACUACCUAAGCCUGUGGGACAGUGCAUUCAUAGAAGUUCAGGUUUUAAAAUGGAUACUACUUCAGAGAGUACCGUCAUGGAAUGAAGUGGUGGCCAGUUUUUCAUAUAUUUUAGAAAAAAGAAAUGGUAUCAAUAUAAAAGAUAACAAAUUAUUUGAUGAAUUUUCUUGCGUUAAAAGUUAUGCAACACCUAGCAAGUUUAA